UCUAGCCUAUGUAACCCAAUACUUUCAUGGUAUAUAAAAGAGAGUAGGUAUUAAAUACUGGCACAAAAAAAUUAGCAAUGUAUACUAAGGUGUUUCUACUAGCUGUCCUUUUUUGCCUGCUGGGAGCAGUCCUCUCCAGUCCUCUCAGAGGAAUUGUGUGCCACAGAUCCACGCCUCCGAAAUGCAUUGAAAGUAGGUAAAGAACUUAAUAAGUAAAAUGAAGUUUAUGCUUUUGCAAUGUAAAGAAUAAAGAAAAUGUAUGUGAAUCUA